rnacentral:rRNA from 1 species
AUUGAACGCUGGCGGCAGGCCUAACACCUGCAAGUCGAGCGGAGCGGCGGACGGGUGAGUAAUGACUAGGAAUCUGCCUGGUAGUGGGGGAUAACCUCCGGAAACGGGCGCUAAUACCGCAUACUAUCUUAUGAGCCUAGGUCGGAUUAGCUAGUUGGUGGGGUAAAGGCCUACCAAGGCGACGAUCCGUAACUGGUCGGAGAGGAUGAUCAGUCACACUGGAACUGAGAAACGGUCCAGAGUCCUACGGGAGGCAGCAGUGGGGAAUAUGGGACAAGGGGCGAAAGCCUGAGGCAGCCAUGCCGCGUGUGUGAAGAAGGGCUUCGGAUUGUAAAGCACUUUAAGUUGGGAGGCGUUACCAACAGAAUAAGCACCGGCUAACUUCGUGCCAGCAGCCGCGGUAAUAC